rnacentral:rRNA from 1 species
UGAGUAACGGCGAGCGAAAAGGGAAGAGCCCAGCGCCGAAGCCCGCUCUCGAGAGGGAGCCGGGCAAUGUGGCGUUUAGGAGUGAGCGUGCCGGCGGUCGACUCUGCAGCAAGUCCCCCUGACCGGGGCUGUUAACCCAGAGUGGGUGCGAGGCCCAUAGCUGCUAGGUCUCCGUCGGAUGCGAUCUCCUUGGAGUCGGGUUGCUUGGGAGUGCAGCCCUAAUCGGGUGGUAAACUCCACCUAAGGCUAAAUACUGCCGUGAGACCGAUAGCAAACAAGUACCGUGAGGGAAAGUUGCAAAGAACUUUGAAGAGAGAGUUCAAGAGUACGUGAAACUGCUCAGAGGCAAACGGGUGGGCCCUCGAAAUCCUGUGGCGGGAAGAUUCAGUCGAGUGGCGUGGACACUCGGUCGGAGAACGAACCAUGGCUCCGCGACAGGCGGCCUCUCCGAUCGUGUGCUUUCGCGCUGCGAGACGCAUUUGUUUCCCGUCCGAAGGACCCCGCAACCGGUUCGAAAGCGGCCACGAGGGUCGGAGACGGCAGUUGGCCGGUGGCGUUCCUCCGUGUUCGUCGUCGGUUGCUAGCCAUCCGGCCCAGGCUCGCGGGCGGACCGUGGCGACGCGAGGCCCUCUUGGGCUUCAUCGCCUCCUCCGUUCGCACGGAUGCCGGGAAUCUCCUGGCAGUGGUACGCACUGCUGCGGGCGCACGGACUGACUCCGUGGCCCAGCGGCAGCGAGCGUCUUCGAUGGCCGGGGGUAAGCCCGUCGGAGGUU